GUGGCUCUCAUAUGAUUGGCUGACUGUUGAGUCACAUGAGAGAGGCAUUCCAUUCUAUUGUGACUGUUAUUCCAGUAACUGUUGUUUUUAACUGCUUUCUCUUCUAUGUGUGUGAGGGAGAAUGGCUGCUAAGAGAGGCUGCUCAGGAUACUGCUGAGGAUGGUAUGGUGUCAAUAUGAUCUGUCUGAUGUGAAACAGAUAGCAGAAGAUCCCUAAACGUUAAUAGGGAGAAACCUGUGCAGGAGCUCUCAGUAAGCCCUGAGGUAGGUAAAACUUUGGUGCAAGUCUCAACACAAUUUUGUUUGUAAGUCUAAGUAAGUAGACUUCAGACUACAAUUCAACUGAGAACAUACCCAUGUUUGAAUAAGCAUGAGAUUGUAAAUAUAUUCUUAGUUAUAUGUUUAUGAAAGUAAAGUUCUUUUGAAUAUAAAGAUUCUGGACAUUGUAUAGUCUUUACAAAGAAACUAUCAAUCACCUAGAAGAGUUAUUUAGCUUCCUAGCUGUAAGCUACUCUGCUACUUUGCAUAUCAUCAAAAUUUAUUUUAUAUAGAUAACACCAUUUGCCCUGGUCGACCAGCCUUUCACUGAUACACAUACAUCACCCACCUCACUCACCACACAUGGAACCAUAAUGUUAGAGAUAUGACUAUGGUUUACUGUUUUUAAAAAAUCCAGCUCUCAGAACAUAGUGUAGUAUUCUGACCAUUAAGGAACAAGUUUAGAACAUUGCCUUCUUAGAUACUGGAGCAAGAUUCUCCUUGUACUUUUCAGUUCCUUUCAGUUUCUCAACCAGUAUGUUCCCAUAAUGAGCACUCCCUUCCCUUCAUACACAAAUAAAGUGAGUAGGACUUUUAUUUUCAAGGGGCAGAGUCCUUUUGGUGGUAGCACCCGGACUUUGGAAUUCCCUCCUUGGGCUGACCUGUGAGGCUUCAUGUCUUCCCAAAUUCAAAUGAAUUUUGAAAACUCACAUAUUCAAAUAGAAUAUUAAUGUUUGUCCUCUGCUGUUUUAGUAUAAAUAUUUUAUUAAGCUUUAUAGUGUAAUUACGGGACUGCUGACUGCAUUUUCAUUAUGUUUCAGAUAGUUUAAAUUGCUUACUGAACUGUGGCUGCUUGCUUUGUUUUGUAAGGCAGAUGUAGUUGAGUUGUAGCCAGUGUUAGUCACAGUCAAGGGUGGACCCAUAGAUAUUAAUACAUUUAAGGUAGUCAUGUCCAUUAAAUCCAGUGGGUCUACUCUGGGUAUGACUAACAUUGGAUGCCAUCCUUUAAAUAUAAAUGUUGAACGAAAAGUGUUUUAUAAAUUGAAGUAAUAACGAUGUGUUGUUGUUGUUGUUGUUGUUGUUGUUGUUGUUGUUGUUAAACUUUAUAUCCCACUUUUCAUCUCAAAGAUGUCCAGGAGAGCAAACAAACAAGCAAUGAAAUGAUUUAAACACCUAAAAACAGUUCUAAUACUCAAGGUUUGUUGGAAAAGAAAGGCCUUCAGUAGGCAGUGAAGAGACAACAAAGACCGUAAAGUAAAGGUAAAGGGACCCCUGACCAUUAGGUCCAGUUGUGACCAACUCGGGGGUUGCGGCGCUCAUCUCGCUUUAUUGGCCGAGGGAGCCAGGGUACAGCUUCCGGGUCAUGUGGCCAGCAUGACUAAGCCGCUUCUGGCGAAUCAGAGCAGUGCACAGAAACGCCGUUUAGCUUCCCGCCGGAGCGGUACCUAUUUAUCUACUUGCACUUUGACGUGCUUUUGAACUGCUAGGUUGGCAGGAGCGGGGACCGAGCAACGGGAGCUCACCCCAUCAUGGGGAUUUGAACCGCUGACCUUCUGAUUGGCAAGUCCUAGGCUCUGUGGUUUAACCCACAGUGCCACCCGCGUCCCAACAAAGACUGUACCUGCCUAUUAUUCAGGGGGGGGGAUUCCAAAGGGUAGUUGUGAAGACACAAAACUCAUUAACCAACAGAACAAUCCUGUGCAUGUCUAGUCAGAUGUAAAUCCUAUUGGCUCCAGUGGAAGGGAGCAAGGUAAAAUAAAGAUAGGUCUUUCCUACAAGACAUUUCCAGUAUUUUCUCUCUCCUCUCCUGAGAUGAGGAUGAUUUGGGUGCUGUGGAUUGGGGUCUGUGGCUUUCUAGCCAUAGGAUUGCUUACCCAACAUUGCCACCUUAAUAAAGUUGAAUGAAGGGAACUGGUUUUGCCUAAUCCUGCUCAUUUCCAUCUCUUCUCAACUCCUCUAAAUUCGCAUUAGUGCAGUAUGACAUACUGAAAGUAGAAGCCUUGACAGGUGCCAAGGCUGUGUUAGGCUAAGGCUAACCCCUGUGCUUUGUGUUGUUAAGAAUAUAACCUGACAUUCUUUAUAUUUUGUCUCUGAACAGACCAAGUCUUCAGUUAAAACAAGAAACUUGAGAAACUCACAAGUGAAACUCACAAGUAUCUAUACUCAUGUGGAUAGGAAAUGUUUUGUUCUGCAUUAACUGCACAGUUUUGUAAAUCUUUUGCUGUACAGUACUUGAUAAUACUAUCAAUAAUGCAAAUGGCACUCUGGAAAUGGCACCAUGCAUUUUAUUUUAUUUUUAAGCUUACCAUCUCUCAAAAUUGUGGUCUCUAUUAGAAGAGCAGUAUUUACCAAGCAUUCUGUAUAGGCAACUGAACACUGAAAAGUUAUUAGAGUUGUUUUAUUGCUAAGAGCUGAAUAAACACCUUUAAUUCUUAUUGCUCUGUUUUCCACUCCAGUAUGCCUUUUAUUUAUUUAAUCAUAAAACUAUGGUUCAAUAGCUAUUUUGUCUUGGCUGUUGCUGGAGCCACGAUCCAAUAAAUUAAUCCAGGACACAUCUGGGGACAGAUAUUUAGAAAUGUGUUGGGAUGUGUUUGACGUUAUGGAUCAUCCAGCAGCCAGAAAAUUGGGACUCCAUGACCCUCGCUCAAUACGUACUUUCUUUUCCUCCCUCCCUUAUUUUUCAAAUUUAAAUUACACAGAAGAAAGAAAGAAAACCAAGCAAAAACAAGAAGAUAAAUUAUACAAUCUUAUAUUGCCAGUUUGCAGUAACACAGUCCUCAUUCUGAGCAUUGCAGUGCAAAACAAAUGGAUUGCAUUUCUCAUAAAACCUAUCCAUAGAUCAUCCUGCUACUCUAACUUGAACAUAAAGAGAUCAGCUCGUUCAUUACAGCUCUGUGAAAUAGUUUGGCUAAACAUUCCUCCCAACUCUAUUUCCCCCAGUGUUUUGUCGGUGACAUCCUUGAAGACAUAUUAGAGUGGUGCAUCUUAAGGUCCCUCCACACACCCUUUUUAUUCAAUAUGAUUUGGGCUUAUGAUGGUGUCAGGUGGCUAGACAUGAUCCUGCUUGCAACACUGUUUGGCUCUGCAAAGGUUCCAGGUCAGGCAAACUGCUUUGCUUCCGGUCAUUGCAUGCCCUGUAACCUCCUGCUCAAAUCCCGUAUCCUUUUCUAUCACAAAUGUUCCGGUUUAUUUUUUGUCUUGUGUUUGUUGUGCUAUGGUAUAGGAGUGCCCCUCCCGAUGGCAAUAAUGCAGUAACAUUGGGGAAGCAUCACAGAACAGCUAAUAAAAUAGAAUGAUGUAUGUAUGGUCCAGUAUAAAUUCAUCACUAGUGCACUAUUAUUGUGUCAAUGACAUGUUGCAGAAUACACCUAAAACCUAAUAAGCAGCGCUCUGGAGGGGCCCUUAAAUUGUGGCGCCUAGUGCACAUUCAGGUAUCCCUCCCCCCCAUUGACCUUGGGCCAGUCACUGCCUCUCAGCCCAACCUGCCUCACAGGGUGGUUGUGGGGAUUAAAUGAAGAGGGGAAGAACAAUGUAUGGUGCCUUGAGCUCCUUGGAGGAAAAGUUGGGAUAUAAAUGCCAUAAGUAAGUAAGUAAAGUAAGUAAAGUAAAUAAGUAAAUACUUCCCAUAAUUUCUUCAGCCAUCUUUACAAGUUAACCUUGAUGAGUAGACAAUGGGCAUAUCCAAUCUGUUAGUAUUUUACAGGAAGGAUUCAAAAUUUAGGUUUGCUCCAUAAAGUGGAUUUAAAGUGCUCGGUCUCUGUAGUGCAACAAAAUGCACUUCAAAAAGAAUCAGAAUUUGUGCAGCAAGGACAAUGAUGGGGAAAUGCACUGAAAAGUAGGAUGAACAAAUUAAUAAUGGGAAGAUGCUUGAGCACCCUAGGCAGGAUGAAUGCCCAUUGCUGUAUAACUUCCUGACAAAUUGGAACAAAUGCUCAGUGUUUUUGACUGUACGAGUUGUUGACCCACUGUUUAUGUCUUGGAAUACUGCCGUAUUGCCUCUUUUGUUCAAAUUUCUUCUGAUAAUUUUUAUGGAUAUCUUUCAUCUCCUUACCUUUUACCUGACCGUGCUCAGUUGGUUCCCCCACCUUUUGUUGAAUUUGUUGGAAUACCCUGCUAGUCUUGUUUGUUAUUGAUUUAAUAGAAUAAUAAUAAAUCAAUUAAUAAAAGACCA